rnacentral:lncRNA from 1 species
GGUGUGAAGGGAAACCUUAAUCAGCAGAAAAAGAAAUGUUAAUGUUGGUAUCAUUUUAUUGUUUAAUGGUAUGGUAGAUAUCAAUCUGCUUCCAUUUAGGAAAAGAAAAGCAGUGGUUUUGUUGUGAAAACUGCUUUAUGUGAUGUGAUAAGAGCUCAUAUUCCCAUCUGGCAAGAGGGAGCAGAACAUUCAAAUUAUUUUAGCUAGCCCUGUGUUACUAGUGGGAAAGGGAAUGAAACAUUGCUAUGGAAGUAAGUGAAUGCCUUACACUGAAGAUGUCAAAUGUGGAGUUGACAGCCAGGAUCCUCAACUACUGUACACAGUUUUGGACAAUUACUGGUUAAUACAGGGAAGAAUAUAAUGCAGAGUUACGUGCACCACAGACUUAUUAAGCUGUCUGUGAACAGAAUUUAAUUGGAAGACCACACAUUCUUGGACAGUGCAGCAACCAAGCCUGAUCCUGCUUUCAGAGGAAUUCAAGGUAUUAAAUCAGGAUCCUCUUUUCUUUUCUUUUUUUUUUUUUUUUUUUUGUGGGAGAAAAGCUGCAUAUGAAAUACUCUGCUCUGUUUGUUCCUUUCAGUACUAUCUCCUGUCUGUCCAAUGACAGAAUUCUCAGUAAACUUCCUGUAAGCUCUGUAAACUUCUUCUGAAGUCAGGUGACACACACAUUUUUUUUUUUUAUAACAGAGUAAAGAGUAGAAUUCUUGCCCACUGUAAUUUCAGUAGUAAACAGCAUGUAUAGGUAAUCCAAAUUUAGAAAACUCUUUGAUUUAUUGUGCAUGCUUGCUAGCUAGCAUAUCUGGAAAAUAUUUAUUUUUUAAUGUAUACAUUUUCUUUGUAGCUCAAAAUACUGGUUAAAUGCCCCUAUUGUUAAUCCUACCUGUCAAAUAUAUAGCUUAGGUCACAAUUUUCUUGUGUCAUUACACUUCAGAUCUAAUUCAUAAUAGUUUGGGGAAUUUUCCCACUCUGAAUUUUGCUGAAGUA